UACGUAGGGUGCAAGCGUUAAUCGGAAUUACUGGGCGUAAAGCGAGCGUAGUCGGUUAUUUAAGUCGGGUGUGAAAGCCCCGGGCUACAACCUGGGAAUUGGCAUUCGGAUAUGGAUAGCUAGAGUUGGCAGAGGGAAGCGGAAUUUCCGGUGUAGCGGUGAAAUGCGUAGAUAUCGGAAGGAACACGGUGGCCGAAAGCGGCUGCCUGGACCAGAACUGACGAUCAGGCUCGAAAGCG
rnacentral:rRNA from 1 species